UGCCACCUGUCGGAAAGUCUCUGAUUGUCCGACAUUGGGUGCGAGAUUGGCAUGUGGACAGCAUGCAGGGCCAGUUCAAGAGCAUAAACUGGAUACAGUGAUGGCGUAUGGACAGCAGACAGGGCCAGUUUAAGUGCACUCAGUGGUUGCAGAUUUCACAGUGUUUCAACUUUAGAGAGAUCUGCAACAACUUUACUGCCGGCAGAAAACGUACAGCCCAUGUCUUUUGAAAGUAAGAGUAAAGAUUCUGCAGGCCCAUUGUUAAUGGUAUGGACUGCACUGUGGGCCCUAGCUGCGAAAUUCCUGCUGAAGGUGGUGUGUCUGGUUCUUUGGCAUCCACUAGUUGAUGGUGCAGGGAUGUUCAUGCACAAACACAAUAGACGGAAGUUUUCGGCACCUAUGGGCACUUUUGUUAGCCAAACCUGAACUGUCACAUUUGGCUGAGCUUGCCCUCCGCCCCCUGGAUCUUACUUCAGUUUUCUCCACUUCGCCAUACAAGGUAAAUGUAUUGGAGAGGUAACUGCAUUUCUCACAGAAAACAUUCAACCGUGUACAGAUGCCCCUCCGUUCUUCCCUAUCAAAGUCGAAGCGAAACACACCACAGCAAUUAGGGGACAAGUCGGCAUGUUUGACCUGACUGGUGUUAAUAAGCUCCUCCAACCUCCCCAUAUGCAGAACCCUGUAGGUGUUUGCUUCAGGUCUGUUAAAUAAAAAAUAUAUAAAAAAUUGCUUUUUUCCCCCUGCAGUGCUAAAUGUAUUUCAAUGUACAUUGCAUUGUCAAACUAGAUUAUCUCCCUUUGGCCACUUGCUAGAUUAGUAGCAUUAGUGACACUUGUUGCGUGUUUGUUUAUGGUUACAGAGAAAGUGUAGUUAUCACAAAGAAACAAACUGCAUGUGACAGGCAUUACAAAUAAUUUCUUGGGCAAAAUGUUACAUUUCGGUAUAAAGUU